GAUGAACGCUGGCGGCGUGCCUAAUACAUGCAAGUCGAGCGAACAGACGAGGCGCUUGCUCCUCUGACGUUUGCGGCGGACGGGUGAGUAACACGUGGAUAACCUACCUAUAAGACUGGGAUAACUUCGGGAAACCGGAGCUAAUACCGGAUAAUAUAUUGAACCGCAUGGUUCAAUAGUGAAAGACGGUUUUGCUGUCACUUAUAGAUGGAUCCGCGCCGCAUUAGCUAGUUGGUAAGGUAACGGCCUACCAAGGGAACGAUGCGUAUCCGACCGGAGAGGGUGAUCGGCCACACUGGAACUUAGACACGGUCCAGACUCCUACGGGAGGCAGCAGUAGGGAAUCGGCCGCAAUGGGCGAAAGCCUGACGGAGCGACGCCGCGUGAGUUAUGGAGGUCUUCCGUUCGUAAAACUCUGUUAUUAGGGAAGAACAAAUUUGGAAGUAACUAUGCACUUCUUGACGGUACCUAAUCAAAAAGCCACGGCUAACUACGUG
rnacentral:rRNA from 1 species